rnacentral:lncRNA from 1 species
GGGAGCUCUAAUGGGAGUUCAAUUUGGAACUUUCACUUGGCAUGGAACCCACUGGGAGAGAGUUCUCCUAAGAGUUCUUCUGGCAGUUCUUCAUUCUUAAAAGUGGAGGCUGGUGAAGAAUGUGCUGAUUGGACCUGAGACCCUGAUCCUGGUGAGGCUGUUUUACUGACACAUGGUCCCAGUAAUGACACAUCCCUCCAAUGAUGAAGCAAGAAGGGAGGACUUGAGGUCUCUAAGUCCAUCUCCUCUCCUGAAAUAUCCACCAAUGUUGACUGGCAGGGAAGGUCAAGUGGACAGUACAAUCAGAAUAAAGAAUACAAUUCCCUUCAAAAGCAAGAGAGUCAUCAAGGUUUGGUGCCAAGAGUAUAGUCAAGAAGACUGGCGAUGGCCCAGGAUGCAGUGGAGGAAAAAGAAAACAAUAGGGAAUACCCUCCACAGUAAAUCACAGAGGGCUUUCCUCCAUGAAUUUACAACAGGCU